GCCCUUCCUACGGGAGGCAGCAGUAGGGAAUCUUCCGCAAUGGACGCAAGUCUGACGGAGCAACGCCGCGUGAGUGAUGAAGGGUUUCGGCUCGUAAAACUCUGUUGUUAAGGAAGAACACUUGAGGUAGUAACUGGCCUUGAGAUGACGGUACUUAACCAGAAAGCCACGGCUAACUACGUGCCAGCAGCCGCGGUAAUACGUAGGUGGCAAGCGUUAUCCGGAAUUAUUGGGCGUAAAGCGCGCGUAGGCGGUCUUUUAAGUCUGAUGUGAAAGCCCCCGGCUCAACCGGGGAGGGUCAUUGGAAACUGGGAGACUUGAGUGCAGAAGAGGAGAGUGGAAUUCCAUGUGUAGCGGUGAAAUGCGCAGAGAUAUGGAGGAACACCAGUGGCGAAGGCGGCUCUCUGGUCUGUAACUGACGCUGAUGUGCGAAAGCGUGGGGAUCAAACAGGAUUAGAUACCCUGGUAGUCCACGCCGUAAACGAUGAGUGCUAAGUGUUAGGGGGUUUCCGCCCCUUAGUGCUGCAGCAAACGCAUUAAGCACUCCGCCUGGGGAGUACGGCCGCAAGGCUGAAACUCAAAGGAAUUGACGGAAGGGC
rnacentral:rRNA from 1 species